rnacentral:lncRNA from 1 species
CCACAGCAGCACAGUAGAGGGAGAGGGGAAAGGGAGGAAACACCAGCACCAAUUGUCCUCCAAGGAUUUAGGAUAGUGAAGACACAGACUGGGCAUGAAUAAAGUCCAUUUUCUAUCAGGAGCAUGUUGCCAGUGGUGAGAGAAGGAAGUUAAAAGUAGAGAAAACAAAAAUAAAGGAGAAAAAAAUGAAAAAUACAGAAAUGCCCACCACAUUUUUAAUUACUGAACUUAGGUGUCUGCACUUCCUUCCUACGGGCUACAUAUUCUAUAAAUGUUGGAUGAACAUCAUUUCAUGGAAAUAAAUAUGGCCUACUUUGUCUCUUUUAUUAUCUUCGCACAGUCACUAGACAAACUUCAUCCACUCAGCCACAGCAUGGCUUUUCUGAAUUACCCACCGUGAUGAUGUUUAGGAGAAGGCAGGAAGACGAGGGGCCAGCCUGAGAAUGAACCCACACUACACAAUCAGUGGACCACCUGUCUGCACUUGAUCUUCUGCAAAGCCACAUGGUGCGUGAGCCUCGCAUCCCUGUUCUGAACCUGCAUCACUCCAAGGGAGCCCAGACUCCCGUGCCUUCGCGCUCACGCACUGGUGUGAUUUACCUGUGAGUUCAUUUGACUUGUCUAUUUUGCUAGGGACACAACCCUGCAGUCUAAGAUGACAGAAGUUUAGAUUAUUAGUUAAAUACACUAGACUUACAAGGAGAUAAAACAAGAGUGAAAACCCGAAAAUUUGGGGGGAUUACCUUACCAACAUAGCAUUAAGCCUAGCCAUUUUACCAACGUCAGUUCUCACUCUGUUUAACAUGAAGUCUCAAACUGAAUCUGAUACAAGUGUUUAUGAGUCCACUUGAAUUGCAACUGAUGGCAAUUCUUUGAAAAGCUAUUCUCUUAUUUAUUUUUACAUUCAAGUUAGCCACUUAAAUUUGAGCCAAGUUGUACAUUUACAAUUAGUGGCUAAAAACAGGCAAACCCCAGGCUCCUUCCUUACCCAUAAAAUAAGAGUGGGAGCCAAGCCCCACCCACAGACCCUUCCAGGCUGAUUUGAAGACUAUAAGCAGCAGAGCAGAUUAGUAAAUGUUGGUUGCCUUUCCCCAAAAGAGGAACUGCCAGUCACUUCUUACUCACUGCCAACAUUACAGCCGUUUUCACCAGGCUGUCCCUUUGUCCCAUAAGGUGUGGAUAACAAGGUUCCCCCAAGACACACAUGUUGGAAGCCAAAGCUGCUGCCCAAGGAACUGGAGGUUGGGAUUUUG